UAUCGUGUGGCCUGGAUAAAGUAAGGAGGAGCUUUGUGAAGAAACAAACACACUGUUGUGGCAAACCAUGUUUGAGAUGGGUCAUGGGAGCAGGGAAACAGGGAUAACUAAUGAUGCCUGUACCCGCAAGAACGACGUGGUGGAGAAACAAGUGGCCAGAUCGCUGGGCCAAGAUUUGUCUGAGACUCUGGACCCCGGCCAGGGGAACGCAAAUGAUUCAAACAAAGGGCUGUACGGGACGAGGCACAGCAGCUGCAUGAUGGUUCUUCAGAGGACUUGGAGGUUCUGGACACCAACAGCUCCGAAGGGCUGAGAGGAUUGGGCCUGUCUGUUUUUGCCCAGAUCCAAAACCAGAUGCUCAACAGAAUGAUGAGUGAGCUGUAGCUCACGAAAGCUUAUGCUCAAAUAAAUUGGUUAGUCUCUAAGGUGCCACAAGUCCUCCUUUUCUUUUUGCGGAUACAGACUAACACGGCUGCUACUCUGAAACCAACAGAAUGCUGAAACAGAGGGGGAUGCUUAUUCUAUAGGCCUGUACAAUCUAAAGUUGAGGGAGAAAUUCAGUAUUAAGCCUGUGCCAGUUCAUAACCAUAAAACCGUGAUGUGUACAAUUAUGCGAGCAGCUGUGCACGGAAUCACCAAGUGCAGCCUGAGAGAGAAACAAAAUGAGGAUUGCCCUGGGUGCUCCAUAGAUGUCCCCGGUCAGAGGCAUCACGCCUGCGUGUCCUGGUCUUUAGAUGAUGUGAACUGUAAAAUUAAAGAAAUUAGCAGUAGUUUGUGUCUGGAGAGUGUGUUAUAAACAUCAUCAUCACUUUGGGAUACACACUGCAGGGCAUCUGUUUAACCCAGGAACAUUUAGCUCUAGGGGCAGAAUUGGUGGACAAAGUGACAGAGGCCAAGGACCCAAAUAGCGUUUUAGAUGAAAACAUCAAACCGACAGAUAAAUGUUUAAUGCAAAAUGUUGAACGUCUUCUUCGUUCAGCAAAUUACAAAAUCUUGCUAAGAAAAAACACUAGAAGUUAGAGCGCGAUUUGGGAACAAAACAGGGUGUGCUGUAAAAUAAAAUGCCAGUUGAAAAGAA